GAGUUGGCUGUAGCUUCUUAUUCUCUAGGUCUUGCCCUAUUCACGUCUGUCAUCUCUUUCUUUCUCCAUACCUAUUUGAUAACCUUCAUAGGGAUAAUAUUAGCUAAGCCAUUGCCAAGAGCUGACUCAACUCUUCUCUAAUCUUCUUCUUCAUGAUCUAAGGUAGUUAGGACGUCGAAUCUCACCCUAGUUAAGAGGGGGAUUUGAGGUCUGUUUAUGUGAUGAAGAGGUUGAAAAGAUGAAGUUUGCAUCAAUUUUGGACUGAGAAUUCAUAAGAGAGUUGGAGACAUGAAAGCUGUAGAGGAAGCAAGGAAGAAGAUGAAUCUUCUCUCUAAAAAAACUGAAAAGAAGGCGGAGCUUCUCGCUCUUAGUUCAGAUACUUCCAAUAUACAUCAAUAUGCUUUAAUUAGAAACUCUGAUGGUGAAUGUGAUAUUGAAUUUGUGUAACAGGAAAAGAAGGUGCCGAGUGCAAGAGUAGGAGAGCAAGAGAGUAGUAACAAUAAUUAUGGGAUGAGACCAGGCACUAGCAGUAGUAGGCGUUCUGGGUAUUCAGUGAAUAGCAUAAAUAUGUCCUUCAUAAUUAAACAAUAUUUAAAAUACUAUUAUUAACACCAAUA